UGUUUUCGUCUACAAACAAUCUAGAGAGCAACAGCUGGGGAUCGAUCGCCUUUGAAUUCAAUAGCAAGUAUAUUGCAUUUAAUUAACUAUCUAACUAAGAAAUAAGGCCUGAAUUAACGGCCUUAACUAAAUCCUCGAGCUACUGAACUAUUUGGUUUAAAUAUGUUCUAGCAUAAUAUCCAAAUCGAAGUUCGAGCAAAACACGCACAAGCCUACAUCAGCAUUGCUGAACGUGGCGCACGAAUGCGACUUAGCCUCAAACAACAUCAACGUUUGGCUGAUCUGGCGAAGAUCACGUAGUUGUCCAGGCUAUGCAAGAACGAGGAAGUGUCGUCAAAUUCCAACAUGCACAACGAGCUGAACCCAUCGACGGGUUUAGCUGAUUUCGAUUUAACGUAGGCGAUACGUACAGAUACGUACAAACGUAAAGGCUUGUAUUUUCCGCAGAACAUAAAAUAACACAGGAAGCGACAUGAGUGAAAGGGCUUUGCAGUUGGGACUAAGAAAUCCCUUUUUCAGCAGGCUUCCCAUCCAUAUAUACAGCACAUACGUUAAGGUUGAAAUUUCACAGGAACAAGAUAACGAAUGAACACGCAGCAAUGUGUCAGUAGAUGCUGCCGCGUAAAAUAAAAAGAGAAAAGCUCAUGGUGAAAAAGCCUCUAGCACCGGGAUUGCAGAGGAAGCCAAAUGUGGGAACGUCUCGUACAAAAAUUCUCGAUUUAAAUGAGUAUUGCUGGAGAGUCGUAUUGGAUUAUCUGAGAGUAAAAUACCAGCUAAGGCUCGCUUCUUCGAAGCUGGGGAUUGCAAAGAUUUUCAAGAGAUACGCAAGCCAUCGGUAUUAACAUAUGAAUGAAUCGCAGAACUGAAAGAACUGUUGCAGAUAGUUUGCGAGCAUAUGAUAAGCUAUGAGUCUGACGGAUCGCGUUUCGAAAGUCAAUCAGCAUCUGUGCCUCUUACGGAGCUACUGCUCGAAUCCUCAAAAUUAGAAAAUGAAUAUUGUUCCGGGCGGUGCGGAUUGAUUUUUAUAUAUUAAUACAGCUUUUCAGAAGAAGCCAUUACGGAUAUGGAUUUUGACGAAAUAAACGAUAGGCUGGAUUCCAUACGAUGAAGCUCACCUACAAACAUGCUUUCAUAGAACUCUAAUAAAUGAAAAUUACGACAACUAGACAUAAUUCAUCCUAAUACCCUCACUAAAAAAAAUUUGGAAAUUCUUUUGACAAACUGCCAGUAGCUGGAACGUCUGGUCCUUGAUGUAGAGAUCCUCGAUUCAUCGGCGCCCUAUGAGAUGGUUUGCCAGUUGCCCAAGCUGCAACAUUUGCAGGUGUCUCAUUACGGUUCUGUACACAACUCGUUAAUCGAGAGCUUGAUCAACAAAAAAGGGUCUCAUAAGCUGGGACGAUUUAUUGGAGGCACAGGUUAAGCAUAUUUGCAAGACUUUUACACUCAAGGAAUUCGAAGUAAACUGCCACAGCGUUCCCUCCAACUCCAACAAUACGCAUGACCAAUUUCUGGUCCUCCUGGAGGGACUCCCGAGCUUGAAAAUAAUCAAUGUAUUAUGCAGUUACCGUAAUACAGAUAGUGUGAAAUUAGUCAAUAGUGUUCGUACCUGGGUGAGCGAAUAAUUUAUAAACAUGCUUUUAUGGAACUCUAAUAAAUGAAAAUUCCAAUAAUUUUGUCCAAUAUUUGUAUGUACAUACAUGCA